GAAGGCCUUCGGGUUGUAAAUCUGCUUUUGUACGGAACGAAAAGCCCUGGGUUAAUACCCUGGGGUCAUGACGGUACCGUAAGAAUAAGCACCGGCUAACUACGUGCCAGCAGCCGCGGUAAUACGUAGGGUGCAAGCGUUAAUCGGAAUUACUGGGCGUAAAGCGUGCGCAGGCGGUUUUGUAAGACAGAGGUGAAAUCCCCGGGCUCAACCUGGGAACUGCCUUUGUGACUGCAAGGCUAGAGUACGGCAGAGGGGGAUGGAAUUCCGCGUGUAGCAGUGAAAUGCGUAGAUAUGCGGAGGAACACCGAUGGCGAAGGCAAUCCCCUGGGCCUGUACUGACGCUCAUGCACGAAAGCGUGGGGAGCAAACAGGAUUAGAUACCCUGGUAGUCCACGCCCUAAACGAUGUCAACUGGUUGUUGGG
rnacentral:rRNA from 1 species